GCAUCUAUACCGUGAAACUGCGAAUGGCUCAUUAAAUCAGUUAUCGUUUAUUUGAUAGUACCUUACUACUUGGAUACCCGUGGUAAUUCUAGAGCUAAUACAUGCUAAAAACCCCAACUUCGGGAGGGGUGUGUUUAUUAGAUAAAAAACCAACGCCCUUCGGGGCUCCUUGGUGAUUCAUAAUAACCUCACAGAUCGCAUGGCCUUGCGCCGGCGACGGUUCAUUCAAAUUUCUGCCCUAUCAACUUUCGAUGGUAAGGUAUUGGCUUACCAUGGUUUCAACGGGUAACGGGGAAUUAGGGUUCGAUUCCGGAGAGCGAGCCUGAGAAACGGCUAGCACAUCCAAGGAAGGCAGCAGGCGCGCAAAUUACCCAAUCCCGACACGGGGAGGUAGUGACAAUAAAUACUGAUACAGGGCUCUUUUGGGUCUUGUAAUUGGAAUGAGUACAAUUUAAACCUCUUAACGAGGAACAAUUGGAGGGCAAGUCUGGUGCCAGCAGCCGCGGUAAUUCCAGCUCCAAUAGCGUAUAUUAAAGUUGUUGCAGUUAAAAAGCUCGUAGUUGACCAUUUGGCCUGGCUGGCAGGUCCGCCUCACCGCGUGCACUUGUCCGGCCGGGCCUUUCUUUCUGGAGAACCGCAUGCCCUUCACUGGGCGUGUUGGGGACCAGGACUUUUACUUUGAAAAAAUUAGAGUGUUCAAAGCAGGCCUUUGCUCGAAUACGUUAGCAUGGAAUAAUAGAAUAGGACGCGCGGUCCUAUUUUGUUGGUUUCUAGGACCGCCGUAAUGAUUAAUAGGGACAGUCGGGGGCAUCAGUAUUCAAUUGUCAGAGGUGAAAUUCUUGGAUUUAUUGAAGACUAACUACUGCGAAAGCAUUUGUCAAGGAUGUUUUCAUUAAUCAGUGAACGAAAGUUAGGGGAUCGAAGACGAUCAGAUACCGUCGUAGUCUUAACCAUAAACUAUGCCGACUAGGGAUCGGGCGGUGUUAUUUAUUUGACCCGCUCGGCACCUUGCGAGAAAUCAAAGUGUUUGGGUUCUGAGGAUUGUUCCCCCG
rnacentral:rRNA from 1 species